GCUAAUUAAGAUGGUCUUUAAUAUCUUCCAUUUGAGAUGUUGUGCCAAAUAUCAUCUUGCAUUCUUUAUUUAAAUUAAUGUAUCGGGUUGAAUUUCUUCUUUACAUAAUUUUUUAUUGGUCUUUAAUUAUUUAUUGCUCCUCACUUAUUCUUUUAUUGGAAAUCUCAAUAGUCUUUGCAGUGACAAAUUUUUUUUUUUAAUCAGAGUGCAGAUGCAUCCACUGACUGGAAGGAGUUUACUACCGCAGAUGGUCAAAAAUACUACUAUAACCAGGCCAUAAAUCAAUCCCAGUGGACAAUUCCUGAUGAUCUUGAGUUAGCCCGAGAGCGGACAGAGAAUACUGUUGCUAAUCAAACGAGACUGAAACAACUGCGAAUGUUAUUUCAACAGUUGAUUCUGUUUGGAUUUCUUAUUCCUCCAAUCGUGCGGCUG